CCCUCUUUUUUUAGCCCUUUCGGGUUGAUACAAGGUCCUUGAUUUCUCCGCACGAAUUCGCCGGAAGCCGAAUUCAAUUUCCACGAGCCUUUCAGCCUCUAUCUUUCUAGUUGAGCAUGUUGGGUGUGUAUUUAUUAACCGGGUCGGUCAUCCUCUUCAAGUUAGGAGUGGUCAAACUGACUCUCAAAUCCAAUUCUCGAGAGGUAGGAAUCAAAGUCCGCAGGACAACUGGUGCACUCAUCGCUUGUCUUAUCGUAGGUGCUUUCGUGUUACAGCUCCAGGGAUUUCUUUUAUUUCUUCAUGGGCUGUGGAGAUAUUUCUCCCAAAACAGACAAGGGCAGGUGGUUUGCAAGCUUUUGGAUACUUGUCAGCGUAUCACUGCUUUCCAAGGCUGUUCGCCACAUGAUUGAGUUUGUACUUGUCAGUUUAAGAGACAAUAGGCGUUGAAGGGGUAUCUUGAAUAUCAAGAAGCUUGAGCAGACAGUACUUGAAGUAACUAGAUGAUUGCCCUGACUACAAAAGUAGUUUUAGCAGUGAAGAAUAUGUGCAGCAUGCGAACAGAUCUUAGCCUUGCAGUUUGAUCAUUACUUGAAGUAACUAGAUGGCUACCCUGACUACAAACAUACUUUUUUACUGUGAAGAAUAUCUGCAAUUUGCGAAGUGAACAAAACCUGAUCUGUGAUCAUCAAACCUCAAAGCUACUUGUUUCAUUAUAUUGCAAGUCUUUUCUUAUCA